AUUUUGCAUUAUACGUGUAGAACAGAAUGUCUGAAGAAGCAUCUUCCAGUAGCAGUGCCAAAGGGACUGAACGAACUUCAAAUCAUCGUUGUGCGAUUUGAAGAGAAGAUUUAUACUGCAGCGACCAGUCAGGUAAUUUAAUCUGUCUUGGCGGCUACUCAAAGCAGAUCAUAGUUUAUUUUAUUUUUAGUUAUGGGUGUCAAACAAGGUUUUAUGGGCUUAUAAUAGAGCAGAACUGUCCCCAAAUGUUGUAGAGGAUACUUUUUAAGUCAUGUUUAGUACCAUGUAUAACUAUGAUUCAAAUCUUAAAAGCUGAAGCACCUGCUCGAGCAUGCUAAAUUCCUAAUCAACCAGAACUCUUGGUUGCAAGCCACCAUUAGUAAUUUAGUCCCAGGCGGUGGUCAUUGCGACGACACACGUCAGCCAAGAUGAUGUGCUUUACACUUACAACUCGUGCUGACUGAAUCGGAGCAAGCCUCCUACCAGUUCCACCAUGUAACACUCUGCAGGUUGUCGAAAUAAGAUAGUGCUCUGUAGUGCAUUCCAAUUCAGUUGGGUACCCAGGAGCCCCACCAACCUGCAGUAAUUAUUCAUCCCAUUGUCGACAACUACAAGAUGGGACCCAACUUCAAGAGAGGCCAAAUGGUUUCUCCAUAUGGCGGAACAUCACGGUAGCAUUUCCUUGUAAAUUUUAGUGUUGCACUGUUUAAUCAGUUGAUCUCAUUCUAAAAAUUCAGUCAUGGUGGUAC